UCCCAGGUGGCUCAGUGGUAAAGAAUCUGCCUGCCAAGCAGGAGACGCAGGUUCAAUCCCUGUACGGAGAA
rnacentral:tRNA from 1 species